UACGUAGGGUGCAAGCGUUGUCCGGAAUUAUUGGGCGUAAAGAGCUCGUAGGCGGUCUGUCGCGUCUGCUGUGAAAACUCAGGGCUUAACCCUGAGCUUGCAGUGGGUACGGGCAGACUAGAGUGCGGUAGGGGAGACUGGAAUUCCUGGUGUAGCGGUGAAAUGCGCAGAUAUCAGGAGGAACACCGGUGGCGAAAGGCGGGUCUCUGGGCCGUAACUGACGCUGGAGGAG
rnacentral:rRNA from 1 species